AAAAGAGAACUUGGCAACAACAAAAAUACAAAAAAAGUAGAGAUGCCUGUCACAUUAUUAAAAUUAUAAAACCACCACCCAUCUGCAGAUCACUACAACUUCAUCUUCUUCUCCAAUAGAUCUUGCAUCUUUCUUCCACUUUCUCCCAUCAACUGCUAGAUUUCUUCAAUUAAUCAUGAAGGAUCUGUUGUGUGGAUGUUUAUCAAAUCAAGCUUCUUGAAGGUGAUUCUGCUGGAUCUGUCAUGGUGUUUUAUUUGUGGAUGCAGGGUUGGCAAUAACAAAUUUGGACCACAAGAGUGUAACAUAUCAGGAAUAAGGAGCAACGGAUGUACGGCUCGAAGAUGAAAUGUUUCGUGCGAUGGAACCCUCACCUGGGUGGAUCAAUAUACCCAAGAGAGAUACUAUGAUUUUGAUGAUUGGAAACUAUAACAACCGUUUGGUGUAAAUUAGGAUCUACGUUGAGUAGCAUGGAUAUUUUGAAUCUAUAUGAAUGUGGUCCAUUAAUUGCACAGAUUCUAAAUUAGGAAACUUUGGUUUUCAUGUAAAUAUUUCAUUCUCAAUGCUGCUUCUAUCACAAUAACUACCGUGUCCAUUAAACAACACCGACAAUAUGAUCGUUUUGGAUGGUUUUGUUGACUUGGUUGUUAAUGUGAUAGAAGCAGCAUUGAGAGUGAAAUAUUUACAUGGAAACCAAAGCUUUAUAAUUUCGAAACUGUGCAAUAAAUCUUCCGCCAGAUACAAAAAUAGCUAUGCUAUUGAAAUGUAGAUCCUAAUCUACACCAUAGGGUUAUAUUACUCUCUUUUGAUCUUAUUGAUGGUUAUAGUACUUCUCAAGGAAUCCCUAUCUGCUCAGGUGACGGUUCCAUAUCAUGAAAAGAUUACAACUUCUAGCAUAUGUAUUGUUAUAAUUGCAAUGGUGAAAUGUAUGUUCCACCUAAUCAGUCUUUGUGAGAUGAGUUUGUUAAAUGUUCGAUUGUUUUGUCUCGUAUAUUAUUUAACACAAAUUCACAAUACGCAUUACAUGUGUUCUUGCCUUACACUCGAUCUUUACGCUCCAUGGCUACUGAUUUCCAUGUUUGUUGUUAAUUGAACCUAUAGCCAUUGGUGUCAUCUCUUCAUUUGCAAGAAAUUACUGUUUAACACAAGAAAUCUUGAUGUGAAUCCUUACUGUAACAGAUAUACAACUACACAAGAAGCUGAAAUCUGUUGGUGAAUUUGUGCCAGAUUAUGGUUUUGGUGAUGCAUACAUUGAAUGGACUGAUAUCAACUGUUUUAUUUAAUAGUGACAAAAUAAAUCACAACCAGCACCCUACAGAUAGGGAUGGCAAAAAUAACCGAGCCCGGCAGGUAUACCCAAAACCCGACACAAAUGGGACGGGUAUACCCGAUACCCGACGGGUAUUG
rnacentral:lncRNA from 1 species